AGCCUUGUGUAAAAAAGAUAAACACUCUUUGGAGCUAUCGCUCCGUCAUCGUAUUUCCUAUUUUUGCUUUAGGUU
rnacentral:ncRNA from 1 species